CAGUAAAUGGUCGACCUGGUGUCGUUGCCUUACCUCGCACUCGCUCACGCAGGACUAGCCAUUUUUUUUCUUCUGUAAUGAAUCUGCUAUUGUCCGGUUGGAAUAUUAUCAAAAUUCUACGAUAAUAACACCCUAAAGAUUGAUUGUGAACAUGGUUUGACAUGUUUCUACAAACGCUGAGGGAACUUUAUAACUUUUCGUCGACGGUGGAUAGAUGCAUUUUGGAAUGGUGUUCUAGACACGCCAUCAAAACGGAUUUAUUUCGACAUAAAUGAUGGAGUUUAUCGAACAAAUGAACAUUUCUUGUGGAAGUGGGAGACCUUCCGAGUGCAUUCAGCCGAAGAUUAGCAAAGGUAAGAUCAUAUUUUUAACAUAUUUCAGCGUUUUGUGGAUGCCGUGGCUGGACGGCUAACUGAAUAGCUUGGGGCUCAGUACUCAGAAUAUUGAACAAUGUGCUUUCUACGUAAAGAUAUUUUGAAAUCUGACACCGCGGGUGCAUAAAAGAGUACUGUAUCUAUAAUUCUUAAAAUAAUUGUUAUGUAUUUUGUCAACGUUUAUGAUGAGUAUUUUUGUAAAUUCACCGGAAGUUUUUGGUGGGAAUAUAUUUUCUGAAUGUCACGCGCCAAUGUAAAAUGGGUUUUUUGGAUAUAAAUAUGAACUUGAUGGAACAAAGAAUGCAUGUAUUGUCUAACAUAAUGUCCUAGGAGUGUCAUCUGAUGAAGAUCGUCAAAGGUUAGUGCAUAAUUUUAGCUGGUUUUGUGCUUUUGGACGGCUACCCUUGCUUGGAAAAUGGCUGUCCUUGCUAGGAAAAUGGCUGUGUUGUUGUUUUGUUGCUGUGGUGGUAUCCUAACAUAAUCUAAUGUUUUGCUUUCGCUGUAAAGCCUUUUUGAAAUCGGACAACAUGGUUGGAUUCAGGAAAGGUUUAUCUUUCAAAUGGUGUAAAAUAGUCGUAUGUUUGAGAAAAUUGAAUUGUGGUAUUUCGUGCCAUGCGAUCCCAUUGGCUGUUAGCUAGGGGUUCCGCUGGCGGAACGGGGUUCCGCUAGAUGUAAGAGGUUAACAAUUUAUUCAUUUGAUCCUCCCCCCACUACAUGGCAGAAAGGUAGGCCUCACUUGAAGUCCCACAGAGAACAAAGAAAAACUUUAUUUACAGCCCUUAUAUAACCAUGACGCCCCCUUGGACUACGAUUGAGCUAGCUACAGUAACAGUCCACCCACAAAACCCAUUCGGACCUUAUAGGGGUGCCCUGUGUUAAGGUUCAGCUUCAUGUGGCAACAGGAAAUGGCUUAAUUCAUCCUCAAAUGAUCCUUCAUUCUCUCCCUGCAGGUACACAAUAACAAUGUUUUCAACCGUCUGUAGAAGUCAUUUCUUAACAUGAAGAAUUGAAACUUGAAACUUGAAAUUGAAUUUCAGCUUCCUGCGAUUACAGGAAAUUACUUAAUUGAGGGUCAUAGGAGUAGUUUCGAAGUGUUAAAAAGGUUAAAUCUUCUCGAAUGUGUCUGUCUGUCUGUCUGUCUGUCUGUCUGUCUGUCUGUCUGUCUGCCUGCCUGCCUGCCUGCCUGCCUGUCUGUGAGUGUAUAUGUCUGUCUGCUUGGCUGCCUAUGUCUGUCUGUUGUCUGUCUGUCUGUCUGUUUCGCUGUCUAUCUGUGUGUGGAUAUGUCUAUCUGUCUGCCUGCCUGUCUGUGAGUGUAUAUGUCUGUCUGUCUGUUUCUGUUUGUCUGUGAGUGGAUAUCUGUCUGCCUUUCUGUCUGUCUGCCUGUCUGUUUGUCUGUUUGUCUGUCUGCCUGUGUCUGUCUCUCUCUCUCUUUCUGUCUAUCUGUCUGUGUAAAUUUACCCAUUGCAGAUUUAUCACUAAAUGUAUUGCCUUGAAAGCAAUGUAUGCAUAUCUAUGCGUCAAUAUCCCGGUUGUGGAGGUGGGAGAGAGGAAAGAGGUGGAGAUGGGAGAGAGGAGGGAGAGAGAGAGAGAGAGAGAGAGAGGGGGGGGUUAAUGGAGGGGGAGGGAGGGAAAGAAGGAGGGAGAAAGAACUGAGAGGACAAGAGGGAGAGAGAGAGGAGGAAAGUGAGGAAACUGCGAGAGAGGGGAGAGAGAGAGAGAGGGAGAGGGUAAAGGAGGAAGGGGAGAGAGAGGAGGGAGGGGAGAGAGAGUCAACAGACAGACUAUCUAUGUGUCAAUAUCCUGUCUGUGGGUGUGGGAGAGAGGAGAGAGAGGUGGAGGUGGGAGAGAGAGGAGGGAGAGAGAAGAGGGAGAGAGAGAUGAGAGGAGGGAGGGAAAGAAGGAGGGGGAGAGAAUGGAGGGGGAGGGAGGAGGGAGAGAGAGAUGAGAUGAGGGAGAGGGAGGGAAAGAAUGAAGGAGAGAGAAUGGAGGGGUAGAGGAUGGAGAGAGUGAGGGAGAGGGGAGGGUGAAGGGAGCAGGGGGAGAGAGAGGAGGGAGAGGAGGGAGAGGAGAUAGAAAGAGGAGGGAGAGAGGGGGGAGGGAGAGAGAGAGGAGGAAGAAAGUCAGAAGGAUAGGGUGGAGGCGGUGAAAGAGGGGGGAGGGGGAGAGAAGACAAGGUGGGAUAAAAAAGAGGUAGAGAGAGACGGGGACAGGGUGGCAAAGAGAGGGACAGAGAAGGAGGGAAAGAGAGAGAGAAGAGAGAAAGAAAGAGAUGGAGGAUUAGAGAACAGAUAGAGAUACACAUAGAGAUGCCUGUCUUUUUCACUCAGGUCCCCCUUCCAGCAUUCGGGAAUAUCCCGCAUUGGGGAACACAUGCAAUGUCUAUUUCUAUGAGCACAAACACUGUUCAUGACACAAACUGUUCACACCCCUCUUGUUGGUGUGAACAUUUUGCAGGUUUGAAGUUUAUUUCCUUCAAUUAUACACAUUUUGUCAUGGGAUGGAGAGAAAAGGUUGCAGUUUUAAAGCAAUUUUUUUCUCCAUACAUUUUGCCAUGUCUAAUGUGUAUUCAUGUGAUAUUUGAGUGACUCGAACAUUACUACAAAAUCUACGGGCUAAAGAACCUAGCUAAAAAAACGUUAGCUGACAUGGGCUAGUUGAUCUGGACAUUUCUGACAAGUGAUAAAAAGCCCUCUGAGGUCUGCAAUGACUGACAUGACAAGAGGAAUACUGAUGAUGCAAUACCCAAUUUCCAGAUUUCACCUUGUGCAUUCUACUAUUACAACUUUCAACAGUAAGUUGAAAAUUGGACUGACUUCCUUAAUUAAAAACGUUCCUUUUUCGCGCCGACCUCUCGCGCUGACCUCUCGCGCCCCCCAGGGGGCUCACCCCACAGUUUGGGAACCACUGGUCUGGAUAGCAGCACACUGGAGUGAACCCCCAUAUGGCUCCUUCUGGGCUGAGUAUGGCCUACAUCUCUCCCCUACCUAUUGGACGCAGUCCAAGGGCGCAUCACCAGAGUGAGCCUGAGGGGAGAGACCGUGGGCUGAGCAUCCAGCUGCUGUCCCAGUUGUUCGGUAAACACUGCUAGGAUUAGUCUUCCCUAAUGGAAGAGGGGUCAGAGGUUGAUUGCUUGUGCCCUGUCCUGUGGGCUGCAUAACAUGCUCUUCUUUCCGGCUAACCCCAUGAAUAGAGUUCCUUUCUGGACUGUCUGUGUGUGUUGGCCUCUUAGAGUACACUGUCACAACACCUAUCAGGAGAAAAAUGGAAAGGGCAUACGCCCACAAAUAUGUAAAUGUGCGCGUACACACAAACACACAUGCACUCACUUACUCACUCACCCUGAAGCACCUCGAUGAAAUCUUAUUCACACUAGGUCACCCCAGGUCUCUUACAAGCGUAAUGGGGUUUGAUAAGCUGCCAUUUUGUUUCAUCAACUCAUAACCAUAGUUGAUAAUUUAAGGUCAGGGUAAUAUGAACUCACCUCAAAUAUACAGUACAACAUCUACAAUAUUAACCUGUUAAGGAUAGGGGGCAGUAUUUUCACGGCCGGAUAAUAAACGUACCGAUUUAAUCUGCUUAUUACUCCUGCCCAGAAACUGUUUGAUUUGGAUAGAAAACACCCUAAAGUUUCUAAAACUGUUUGAAUGGUGUCUGUGAGUAUAACAGAACUCAUAUGGCAGGCCAAAACCUGAGAAGAUUCUAAACAGGAAGUGCCCUCUCUGACCAUUUCUUGGCCUAUAGCCUCUUUAUCGAAAACAGAGGAUCUCUGCUGUAACGUGACAUUUUCUAAGACUCCCAUAGGCUCUCAGAAGGCGCCAGAAGGUUGAAUGAUGACUCUGCAGUCCCUGGCUGAAAAACAGUAGCGCAUUUGGAUAGUGGUCGAUCUGAGAACAAUGAGACGGGUGUGCGCAUGCACGUGAAGAGUCCAUUUUACAUUUUCAGUCUUUGAACGAAAACAACGUCGCUCGGUCGGAAUAUUAUCGCUAUUUUCCGAGAAAAAUCGCAUAAAAAUGUAUUUUAAACAGCGUUUGAUAUGCUUCGAAGUACGGUAAUGGAAUAUUUUGAAAUUUUUUGUCACGAUAUGUGCCGGCGCGUCACCCUUCGGAUAGUGUCUUGAACGCAAGAACAAACGCAGCUAUUUGGAUAUAACUAUGGAUUAUUUGGAACCAAACCAACAUUUGUUGUUGAAAUAGAAGUCCUGGGAGUGCAUUCUGACGAAGAACAGCAAAGGUAAUCCAAUUUUUCUUGGAUCUGAGUUUGGUGAGUGCCAAACUUGGUGGGUGUCAAAUUAGCUAGCCAUGAUGGCCGGGCUGUCUACUCAGAAUAUUGCAAAAUGUGCUUUCACCGAAAAGCUAUUUUAAAAUCGGACAUAGCGAGUGCAUAGAGGAGUUCUGUAUCUAUAAUUCUUAAAAUAAUUGUUAUGUUUUUUGUGAACGUUUAUCGUGAGUAAUUUAGUAAAUUCACCGGAAGUAUGCUAGUUCUGAACGUCACAUGCUAAUGUAAAAAGCUGUUUUUUGAUAUAAAUAUGAACUUGAUUGAACAAAACAUGCAUGUAUUGUAUAACAUAAUGUCCUAGGAGUGUCAUCUGAUGAAGAUCAUCAAAGGUUAGUGCUGCAUUUAGCUGUGGUUUUGGUUUUUGUGACAUUGUAUGCUAGCUUGAAAAAUGGGUGUCUGAUUAUUUCUGGCUGGGUACUCUCCUGACAUAAUCUAAUGUUUUGCUUUCGUUGUAAAGCCUUUUUGAAAUCAGACAAUGUGGUUAGAUAAAGGAGAGUCUUGUCUUUCAAAUGGUGUAAAAUAGCCAUAUGUUUGAAAAAUUGAAGUUUUGGGAUUUUUGAGGAGUUUGUAAUUCGCGCCACGCCCUAUCAUUGGAUAUUGGAGCGGUGUUCCGCUAGCGGAACAUCUAGAUGUAAGAGGUUAAUUAAUAUGUGGACUAUAGGCUUAGAGCACACAUUAGAUGUUAUUUUGUUAUUAAGCGCAUUAUAUUUUAUACAUAGUGUUCUAAGUUUUUGUCAUAUGUUAAGUCCCUUUUUGGCUUGAUCUCUGUGCUUUUGAUGUCUGGGGAGACGUGGACAGUAAAUGACGAUGGCAAAUUUAUGAACAGAUGGGUCCCUUUGUUUCUUACAGCAGAGGCCCAGAUACACUCACGCACACUCGCCCGCACAUACACACACACACACACUGUAGUACAUGUCGCAUUCCAGUCACACACAUGCUGCUAUCUAUGCACACGUUUUUUUUUGUUAAAGUGCUCACUUUCUUUCACGCUGCUAGGCAGCCGCGAAUUCACAAAGCGUGGCAUGCAUAAUUAUCGCAGUCACUUGCAUUAUCACAUUUAGAGAAAGGCAGUUGCAAUUCCACACAGACAUCAGGCAAAGUGUAGUGUCAUAUGCACACUGACAAACAACAGUACAUAAUGCAUAAUGGUGCAAAUACACUGGAGGUAAUGCAGUCAAAUGAUGGUUCGAGACAAUAAUAUAUGCGUAGUACCAUCAGUGACUAUCAAAGUGCCUGUUUAAAAAAACAGAUAGCUGAAAGCAGAGGGGACCAACCCAUUUUGAGAACAGUUCCCUCAAUCCCUCAAUUAUAUCUGGAGUAUUUCUCCUGUCUUAUCCGGUGUCCUGUGUGAAUUUAAGUAUGCUCUCUCUAAUUUUCUCUUUCUUUCUUUCUUUCUUUCUUUCUUUCUUUCUUUCUUUCUCUCUCUCGGAGGACCUGAGCCCUAGGACCAUGCCUCAGGACUACCUGGCAUGAAGACUCCUUGUUGUCCCCAGUCCACCUGGCCGUGCUGCUGCUCCAGUUUCAACUGUUCUGCCUGCGGCUAUGGAACCCUGACCUGUUCACUGUGAUUACUAUUAUUUGAUCAUGCUGGUCAUUUAUGAACAUUUGAACAUCUUGGCCGUGUUCUGUUAUAAUCUCCAGCCAGCCAGAAGAGCCAGAAGAGCCAGAAGAGGACUGGCCACCCCUCAUAGCCUGGUUCCUCUCUAGGUUUCUUCCUCGGUUUUGGCCUUUCUAGGGAGUUUUUCCUAGCCACCGUGCUUCUACACCUGCAUUGCUUGCUGUUUGGGGUUUUAGGCUGGGUUUCUGUACGGCACUUUGAUAUAUCAGCUGAUGUAAGAAGGGCUAUAUGAAUUCAUUUGAUUUGAUUUGAAUCUCAAUUUAAUGCCUGCUUACACACACACACACACACACACACACACACACACACACACACACACACACACACACACACACACACACACACACACACACACGCACACGCACACGCACACACGCACACAUGCACACACACACACUGGAGCAGUGUGUGUAAUACUGUGUAGUACUGUGUACAGAGCAAGGUUCAGUUGGGGCUGCUGUGUGGUGAUGUGAGGUGGAGACUGGAGGGAGAGUGGGGCCUCUAUGGCUGGAGGUCUUUGUUCCUCAUUCAUGUGUUCUGCUCUCCUCUGAUGAUGGGCCUAUUGUCCCAGCCUCCACUGGACCUGCACUCUUCAGCCACACUGAUAAAGCCCCCUUUCACACAGCAACCCAGUGAGAGCGGGAAGAGAGAGGCAGAGAUUGAGAAAGAAAGGAAAGCGAUGGGAGAGUGGAAAGGGGAAAGAGAUGGGAACAGGAAAUAUGGAGAGAAGAAGAGAUGGUUACAGACAAAGAGAGAGGGUGACAGACAAAAAAGGGUUCUGGAAGAGUGAGAGAGAUUAAGGGAAUGAUUUUGCGAGCGGCAGAGAUGAAAGUAGAAAGAGGGAGAAGUAAUGCGAUGUGAGAAAGGGAAAGGGAGCCAUUGAAAGAAAUGAAAAAGAGGGAUAAAGAUUGAAGUAGAUAAAGGAAAGAAAUGGAAGGUAUACCAAAGUCAUGGUAAAGGAAGAUGAUGUGAGAAAGAGAGAAAAGGAAAGCUACUUAGCAUUAAAACUGUGCUCAUGGGAGUUUUACUUACUAAAACAUGUCUAUCAGAGACUGAUCCAAGAUCAGCCCUCGGUAUAAAAUAAUUGUACUCCUCUCCCUAGCUGUCUCCCUCACCUUGCACCAUUGGAGUUUGAUUAUGCCUAACUGUACAACCAAACUCAGUCAACAUGUCCCGUACAAGAUACUGCCUUGGGCGCUCUUGAAUAUUUGGCUGGGUUAAAAUCAUACAUCUCAGUGUUUUAUGCAACCUUUUACACGCUCUUUGGAAAAUCAAACGGUAUAAAAGCCUGACAAAAUAAGCUCUGAUUUUGAACUUCUAACUCAAGGAGAGCUUUUUGCUGGGCCCUAAUGAGCUUGGGAUCAAGCCUCUGACUCGCGAUGCCCCUGGCACUUGCUCAACCAAACACCGCUCAUGCAGAUCAUUUAUUUAUCAUGUGUGUAACCAUGUGACUACAACCGAACAUGUUUUUCGGAGAGCAGGAGGAGGAAGAAGGAGGGGGAAAAGUGUGGUGUUUCUGCUUGCAUGUCAUUGGGAGCCUGAGAUGACGCUGUUGAGAAUGUCACAAAGAAUUUGGUAAUUCCUCCAUGGUCUGGCCUUGAGGCCAUCUCUCUCCACAGGAUUAGGAGGCAAAGCGGUACAUAUUCGUAAUGGCUGUGUCUUUCCACAGCCUGACACAGACACACAGCGUACACACAGCGUACAUACACACACACACAGCGUGCGCACGAACACAGCACACACCCUCACACACACACACACACACACACACACACACACACACACACACACACACACACACACACACACACACACACACACACACACACACACACACACACACACACACACACACACACACAGAGGAAGGGAUGGAUUACCACCAUAGACCAGGGAAAGAGAGAGGUCGGCUGGUCAUUCAGAGGUUAAUGAGUUGCCAGUCGUCUGUUAUAUGGAAAAGAGAGAGAGGAAAUAGGACCUGAAAGGAUUCAUAAGAGGAUUUGUCUGAUAGGCAUGAAAAUUAACUUCCCACUUCUCACAUCCAUCAUAUCUUUCAAAGAAACACACUCCCACAAACUCCCACCCACACCUUUUACUAAAAAUAAAAUGUUUUACACUUAAAUGUCUAGAUUGUGUCCCACAUCCAUAUCUUUCAAGAAACACAAACUCUCACAAACACCCACCCACACCUUUUACAAUAAAUAAAUAAAAAU
rnacentral:lncRNA from 1 species